ACUCCUACGGGAGGCAGCAGUGGGGAAUAUUGGACAAUGGGCGAAAGCCUGAUCCAGCAAUGCCGCGUGAGUGAUGAAGGCCCUAGGGUUGUAAAGCUCUUUUACCCGGGAUGAUAAUGACAGUACCGGGAGAAUAAGCUCCGGCUAACUUCGUG
rnacentral:rRNA from 1 species